rnacentral:rRNA from 1 species
UACGUAGGGUGCAAGCGUUGUCCGGAAUUAUUGGGCGUAAAGAGCUUGUAGGCGGUUUGUCGCGUCUGCCGUGAAAAUCCGGGGCUCAACCCCGGACUUGCGGUGGGUACGGGCAGACUAGAGUGUGGUAGGGGAGACUGGAAUUCCUGGUGUAGCGGUGAAAUGCGCAGAUAUCAGGAGGAACACCGGUGGCGAAGGCGGGUCUCUGGGCAGUAACUGACGCUGAGGAGCGAAAGCGUGGGGAGCGAACAGG